rnacentral:rRNA from 1 species
CCUACGGGUGGCAGCAGUAGGGAAUUUUGCGCAAUGGGCGAAAGCCUGACGCAGCAACGCCGCGUGAUCGAGACGCCCUUCGGGGUGUAUAGAUCUGUCAGUGGGGGCGAAAAUUGACGGUACCCACAGAGGAAGCACCGGCUAACGACGUGCCGGCAGACGCGGUAAUACGGGGGGUGCAGGCGUUGUCCGGAAUCAGUGGGCGUAAAGAGUUCGUAUGCGGCACGUAAAGUCUGGUGUUAAAGGCAGAGGAUCAACAUCUGUACGGCACUGGAUACUUGCGAGCUAGAGUGCGGUAGAGGUACAGGGAAUUCGUGGUGUAGCGGUGAAAUGCUUAGAUAUC